rnacentral:rRNA from 1 species
GGGGGCAACAGUUUUUUGGUGAUUCAUAAUAACUUUUCGAAUCGAAUGACUUUACGUCGACGAUGGUUCAUUCAAAUUUCUGCCCUAUCAACUUUCGAUGUAGAUAAAGAACCAAUAUAAUUGGUAACUCAUAAUAACUUUACGGAUCACAAUUAAUGUGACAUAUCAUUCAAGUUUCUGACCUAUCAGCUUUAGACGGUAGGGUAUUGGCCUACCGUAACAAUGACGGGUAACGGGGAAUUAGGGUUCGAUUCCGGAGAGGGAGCCUGAGAAACGGCUACCACAUCUAAGGAAGGCAGCAGGCGCGCAAAUUACCCAAUCCUAAUACAGGGAGGUAGUGACAAGAAAUAACAAUACAGGACCUUUUGGUUUUGUAAUUGGAAUGAGUUAAGUAUAAACCCCUUUACAAGUAUCAAUUGGAGGGCAAGUCUGGUGCCAGCAGCCGCGGUAAUUCCAGCUCCAAUAGCGUAUAUUAAAGUUGUUGCAGUUAAAAAGCUCGAAGUUGGAUUUCUGUUAAUAAUUUAUAUAAUAUAUUUUGAUGAAUAUUUAUAUAAUAUUAACAUAAUUCAUAUUACUAUUUUUUUUUAGUAUAUGAAAUUUUACUUUGAGAAAAUUAGAGUGCUUAAAGCAGGCAUAUGCCUUGAAUACUCCAGCAUGGAAUAAUAUUAAAGAUUUUUAUCUUUCUUAUUGGUUCUAAGAUAAGAAUAAUGAUUAAUAGGGACAGUUGGAAGCAUUUGUAUUUAACAGUCAGAGGUGAAAUUCUUAGAUUUGUUAAAGACAAACUAAUGCGAAAGCAUUUGCCAUAUUGGGAG